rnacentral:tRNA from 2 species
GCGGGGGUUGCCCAGCCUGGCCAAAGGCGCAGGGCUUAGGACCCUGUCUCGUAGGAGUUCGUGCGUUCGAAUCGCACCUCCCGCACCA